ACACUCAUAGUUCAGUUGGUAGAGCAUUCGUCUAGUAUAGGAAGGUCCUAGGUUCGACUCUUUGCCAGUACA